UGAGCAGUAGUGGUUCCUCCAGGACCCAGAGUCGGCCCCUGGCCUACCUCCUGCGCCGCUGUUUGCAGGCGGUCACCAGGCAGUUUCGUCCCUUGGUGACCUCGGACCGCAGCAUAAGCCUCAAACGCCAUUACAAUGCCCCCUCCCACUUGCUCCGAAAGACCAUGUCUUCCCCUCUGUCCAAAGAACAGCGGCAGAAGUAGAGCGUCUGCUCCAUGCCUAUUCGCAAGGACAAGGUCCAGGUGUGAAGAAACUGAAACUCAAGUUAAAUAAUGCACAACACGUAGCUGAGGAUGACGUUGGAUUUAUGAUCUUUCUGAGUGCUGGAAUUACGGCAUGUGUUACCACGGUAGACCUCUGCAGUGCCAGGGCCUGUGGUUAUCACCAUGCUGGAACCAGGCAAAGACCGAAAAAUAAUUUUUGAAUGCAAAGCCAAGUCUCCAAAAGUUGGGAAAGAGAAAGGCCAGUUGUAAGGAGCUCACUGAGAAUGCAGGAGUGAGCCUAAGUGUUGUGCUGCAGGGGUUGACCAGAGAGGCCUUGUGCGGCUUCUUUUCAAAGUGUGUCUGAGGUGUUUCAUCGUCCACCUGUUUUGCUACUGACUGUAAAUCUCCUUUUGCAGUUUUGACAAUUUACAAAUAAAAACUGGAACCAUUUCUUAAU